UUGUUGUGAAAGCUGUCAACAGCUGUCCAGCAUUCCCUCUUUAGACUGAAAUAUCUCAAUUAGAUGAUUGCUUGAGAUUCUUGCCCACAAUCCUGUAGAACUCCAUGAACACCUAAAACAGAGAAACAAAGUGUUACAUUUCAAGACUAACUGUAACUUUUACCAUAAAUGUUUAGCAUAUGCACAUCACUUUAAGCUCAACAACUCAGUUGCAGUUACUAUAAAUAAUAGUUACGAAAUAUAUCUAAGAGACAAACUAGCGUUAACAAAAAGCUAAUGCAUGCACACCUGCUGAUAUUAAACGACUGAAGCUAAGUGUAAUGAAAUGCUAACAUUACAGCUAACCUGAACAUGCAGAAACACACUUGCUGAACUUAUCUUAAAGGUGCUGUAUGUAGGAUUUUGACUCUACUAAAGCAUAAAAAUACCAUAAUACGUUUGCAGAUAUUUAAGAAACAUGCUAAAUUAACAUGCUUGUUUAUCUGAAAAACAAUGCUACAGUCAGUUAUUCUCCUUUGAAAAUGUGUAUUCCGGCCCGGAAUGUCUGUGUUUGUUAUGGUUUGUGAAACCCGCCCACUGACAGUUUACCCAAUUGUAUUUCGGCACAGCGGGUUGCCAGUUCCUGGAAAACACAGCGUAAUUAAUUGUAUUCAUCGUCAUGUGCGCUCCUUCCUGUUGAUGUCGUUAAUCUGGCAACCUGCGUGUGCGUCAAGUCUGAGGAGGAGGGGCCGGGUGAAAAUAACCGUCUCCAAUAUUUUGAAUUUGGACGGCAAUACCUAGUUCAACCACUCGGUGUCAAUCCUACAUACAGCACCUUUAACUGUGAACCAAAAGAAACACGGAUUUUAAUAUUAGCAUUAACGUUAUAGCUUCUGUGAACCGACAGGGAGGAAACCGUCGAUCAGUAAAUUAGGCCCAUAAGACUACUUUAGCUGUAACUACAGUAACGCUGUCAUCGGACCGGUCUUUUGGAUAAUCAAUUUUCCCAGAAAGAGAAAGAGAAAGAAGCUAAUUUACACACUCACCGUUUCAUGAUGUUUUCCAAAUCCAUCGCGUGCAUCAUCAACCGGUCUCAGAUCUCUUCAAACAUCGCGCGCUCACGCAGACGUGUUCAAAUAGGGCUCCUCCCCCUCAGAGAAACUUAACACAUUAAGCUAUCUCUACUAAACAUUAUCAUUGCAUGCAAUAUUUCGUCUGAUUACUUCAAAUAACUAAUUAUAUUUAGUAAUGGCGACGUGUUUUACAAAAACAAGAAAGAAUAAUUAAAGACAGCUAAAAACGUUUAUUUAAAACAAAAUCCGGGUUUAGAGUGUAGCAUACUGACAUAUGGCACUGUUGCGCUUCGGGUGUCCCGAGAUCGAAUCCGACCUCGUGGACCUUUCCCGAUCCCCUCCCUCGCUUCCUAUGAAGUCAAACUAUGAUGUUCUCAAAAACAGUUCAGAAUUUACUACUGUUAAAAAGGAUUGUUAAUAACCAAUGGCAAGGCUGUAGUAGGGCAGAUGAUAGUCAUCAUCAUUUAGUCCGGGGUUACUGUUAGCAAAUGCAGACAGACUGGAGAAAGUACAGAAAUCAAUAACCACACUCCAGAGCCCAAAUGCAGUGAGCCUUCUUGUUUUCUCUAGUCUUUUUCUACUUCUCUGAUAUGGCUCUGAUAUCUUUUAUCAUGCACAUUUAUCUUGAUUAUUUUUUAGGACAAAUCCACCAGCUUUCAGUAAAGAACAGAUACCCCUUUUCCACCAAGGCAGUUUGAGUGCUGGUUCGGAGCCAGAGCCUAGUUUCAAACCGGUUCUUUGUCUUUCGACACCAACAAACAUAAAAAACUAAAGAAGGAGUACAGGGACCAAAAAAGGACCUCAGUCGAAGUGGCAAUGACCAGCUACGUUGAAAACCCACAUUUCGACGUGCUCGACUCCAUCCUCGGUGAUUGACCGGCAUGCCAGGUGACCAGGGCACUGAACUCGGAAAACAAUAACACUCGAGUCAAUGGUGGACAAUUUGCUGCAGCAAAGUUGCACUGAUCCUGGAAAUUCUAUUGUUUUUUGUUUUGUUUGUUGCCAGCCAGCUAUGUAUUUCUUAGCUGUUUAGUGAGGAAUUAAUUUGUAAUAUCAGGGUUUGGAAUAUUGCUAGCUAACGUUUGCCUAGCUAAGAUUGUAUUAUCUGUCAUUUAAAUGUUUAAAGUAUCACAGAAUAUUGUGGAAAAUGUAGUGGACAACAAUCUUUUUUUUUUUUUAAAGCACUGUCGUCUUGUUGUUUUUGUUUGUAGAAUUGUCUGUCAUCGAUGACGGUGAUGACAACGUUGAGUUAGCGCCACCGCUGGGCUGCAGCUCUCCCACACCGUCGUGUAGCAGCUCUGGAGAUACAUAUCCUGCAUCUUCAAAACAUGACAAAUGAGGUAAGACGUGCUGUGCAAAUAGUGGUCACACCAUACACUAUGCAAAUGUUGAGAUGUGUGUAUUACUAUCAGGUACUGAAAUAAUGCUUAUAAAGCAGUUCGAAUUUAUGUCCAUUAAGUAACAUGAAGAAAAAAUAUAUGUAACAUUAAAUAAUUUAAUUAAAUUAUUACAGCAGGGGUUUUCAAACCUGUCCUGCAAAGAAAUGGAGGAUGUCUUGCUCCAGGAAAUGAGAGCAGACACCCGUUCUCUGCUUGGACUUAAGGGGCGCAUGUUAGUAGUAAUGGAGGCACAAUCGAAAAAAUGACUGCAAGUAAAUCACACCACAGUAUUUUUUUUCCAAAAUUAUUUUGGUGUACAAUUUUUAUUUUUAUGAAAAUAUUUAGAAUUUUUAUUUUCAUUUACUGCACUUUACAUUUUUCAAAGUUUUAUAAAGAGUUGUAUUGUGUCUUUUUUGUAAUAAACUAAUUUUUAUGAAUACAAAUGUCUGGUUCAGUUUCUAUUAGAGCUGCACGAUAUUGGAAAAAAACUCAUAUUGCAAUUUUUUUUUUUUUUCGCGAUAUAUAUUGCGAUCUGGGAAAAAAAAAGCGAAAAAAUAAAUAAAUUCACCAGAUGACUUGACCAGCUCUAUUUGGAAAAAAAAAAGAUGAUCAAUGAUUGGGGUGAUUUUGUAGGUGAAUAAAUCAGCAUAGAAAAUAAGCAAAUUACAAACAUAAAUAAAUAUAAUAGAAAAAUGAAAUAAACAGUGAUUUAUAUUCUUCAGGUAAGUCUAACAGUAUUCAGGUACAGAAAUUAAAUAAUCAAAUGUAAAAUAACACUGCACAGUCUUCACUGUAUAAAUUAAAUCUAAUAAAUCUGUAAAGCUACAAACGCAAUUUUUCUCUAUGCAUUUUGUUGUUUGAUUAACAUUCAUGCCACAGAAGGCCUCAGGAACAUUAAACUGCUGUGAACCAAUACUAUCCAUUCACUUUCUCAAUAGUUUACCUUCACCUAAGCCAUAAGCAACCGUGUUUACAAGGAUACCUGCAGAGACAUGCAUUUUGACAGUUUCGCGCGUAUGUGUAAUUUCAGACACAAAUAGAUGCAGAGAUGAACAGAAUUCAGUGUUUUCACGUGCAUCUGCAUGGCUCUCACCGUGUCUACACCGGACGUGAGGCGACAGAAUAAUAGAACCCAUAAUCAGUGAUGCUGUCUACAGCGGAUGCAGCGCGCACGACAAAUCCCUGACAUUAAACUGAUGCCACGUUCUAUUUAUGACAUACUGACACAAAGUUCACAUGAUUUGAAAUGGUUGCUUUGUCGCGUCCAGUGCAGACAGCCUCAGACAGGUAUACGUUAUAUUCAUAAAAUGAUCAGUAUAAAUAUAACGCAAGUAUAGGCCUACGAAACAUCGCACAUCCUGCGAUGUAACUAUCGCGGAUGCGCACAUCGCGAUAUCGAUGCUGAAACGAUGUAUCAUGCAGCCCUAGUUUGUAUUAUAAAUGUAGGAGAAUAUAAUACAAUUUAUCACAGAUUAUAUGCCCUCAAACACAAAUGGAAGUGUAACAAAUGUGGCAUUGGUGCAGUAUAAAACAAUUUAAAGAAUCACUCAUUCCCUCUGUUAAAAUGCAUCAUUAAUGCAGCUCUGAUGUCAGCCCCUUCUGCGUUAGCAUGCUCAGGUAAUGCCUGAACAGGAGGCUGAAUGUUUACAGUCCUGUCUAGAUGCUCUUCAGUGAAAUUAUCACCAUGCUCCUCACAAAUGUUAUGGAGCACACAGCAGGUCAGUGCCAUUUUCUUGCUCAGCUCCACCUUGCAGUCGUUUCUUUUUAGGAGGCACCGCCAUUGUCUUUUUAAUCUCCCAAAAGACAUCUCCACAACCGAUUGUGCACUGCUGAGCCUGUAAUUGUAGGCGAGUUGUUCAGGGGUCAGUCUGCCAGUGUCAGAAAAGGGCUUCAUGAGCCAAGUCUGCAUGAGAUACGCCGGAUCACCUAUCAGGUAAUGUCCAACAUCACAGCCACAGAUGGUCACUAUGUUUUGCCCUAGUAAUUCCCCGUCACUUAGGACCUCCCUCAAAUGCGACUGUCAUAGCACUCUGGCGUCAUGCACACUCCCUGGAUAGCCAACACAAACAUCCCAGAAAAGACCUUUGCCAUCCACAACUGCUUGCAGGACAAUAGAAUGCCGGCCUUUCCGAUUGAAAUAGUCUCGUGGGUAGUCCCUCUGGUGCAAUUAUUGGAAUAUGGGUUCCAUCAAUUGCACCGACACACUGUGGUAUUCUCCAACGAUUAUUAAAGAAAGUGGCCAUUUCUAACAACUUAUCAGCAUCAGGAAAUCUCAGGUGGACAAUAAGCAGCACCUUGAUUACUGUGUUGCAGAAUUCUUGAAGACAAUUAAACACAGUGCUGAGGCCUACCCCAAAAAGAUGGCUGAUGGUCCUGUAUUCACAGCCCGUGGCCAGUUUCCAGAUGGCAAUUGCAACAUGCUUUCGAAUUGGGACAACACAAACAGUAGUGCUGGGCAAAAUUAGAUGUAUUCGGUGACGUAAGACCUGGCUCUGUGGUGGCUCUAUAGUCCGUGGAAAAGCAAACCGGUUCUUAAAGGGCUUGCAAGUCGAACCAACUCUGAACCGGCUAUAGCACUAGCACUGAACCAGCACCCGGUUCCUGCUGGUGGAAAAGGGGUAAGAUACAGGCCUGCACUGCCAGAGAGACUCAGAUUAAUCAGAUCAAACAAAGAUUGCCCAGAUCAGACCCAAAACCUACAGGCAUGUCAACACGCAACAAACACAUGCAAAGUCUAACAUUCACGUGACAGUCAGAUAACAUGCUAGACAGUCGUACCUGUGUCUCAUGCUCAGACAUGCAGCCAUAUGUGUGCACACAACUCCAUCUGCCCUAAAUGAUGGUGUCUAAAAUCUGAUCCCCCCUCAGGGUUCUGCCAACCAACGAACCUCUCUCUUUCUUCUAGCCUCAUUCUGCUUUCCUUCUCUCUAUUUUCUUUCUCUUGCAUUGUUCUGGCCACACCACCAGCUGUUUCUGACAGCCAAAUUACAGUGCACAGAAAAAUUAUUGCUUACUCUCGCUCUCCAUCUCUGCUCUCUCAGACAGGGUGGACAAAUUACACACUUUACCCGACUGUGAAAUACCAGCUUCAGAGUUUCUGAGCGGAGGCAGGAAAUGUAGAGUAAAAAUCUGGAUGUGGACACCAUAACUGUAAUAAACCAUGUUGCUGUCCAAUUAGUACUUAUUCAAGGUUUAAAAUUAACACCUGCCAACCAACCAGAUGAGGGUGAAAAUCCACCAUGGUGGGCAACGUAUAUCAACUAACCAGUCAAUUUGGCAGGUUAUGAUUCAUAAAUGUCCUAUCACUUUGCACGUCAUCACUAGAGCUCUUUCCCAAACAGAAACCUCCAACAUUAGCAGAACAAUGGGCAAGAAGCAUUAUGCCACAUCUAUAAAUUUUUAAUACAUUUUCUAUGAGUGUAUAAACACUCACAUUUCACACAGCAUCUGUUAGCAGUGCCUGUCUAUGACUCCAGAGGCUGUUAACCUACAUCUGAACUGUGAACUCAACUUCACUCCUGCCUAUUUUGUUGGACUUUACUCUUGUUGGUCUGGUCAGUUCGCACCGCAUAGUUCUAGGAACUUAUUUCUAGGAACUAGCCAGCAGGGUAGUUCCUAGAGAACCAAUUUCUCCCUCGGGCCGUUUUCCUGGUUGCAUUCGCACCGGCAGCAGGAACUCUGAAGAGGCCUACAGCGAUGUCUUUUUGCGUGGCAUUAACAAACAUCAACAGCCGGUGAAUGGAGGACGCUGUGAUCAGAGCUGUUUUUGUUGUGUAGUGGGUUUCGUAAUAACGGAGAUGGAAUGUAAAUGCACAAUUUACGUGAUUGCAAGAGCAAAAGUUGGGCUAAGAGACUAAAUUUUUUAUGACAACUUGCAGUGUUACAUAUCGAAGCUGAGAAAAGAACACAACACUGCAGACAACAGCCAGACACAGACAAACCCGCAAAUUAUAUUUUUAAACCAGAGAGACGGCCGACAGACCAUCUUCCUCAUCUCUAACUGUCACUCGCGCCACAGAUCUGAAGCAAGAGCAAAGGCAGCGAGGGGUGGUGUGAUGUCAUUGGCAACAGGAAGGCUGCAAAACUAAUAUCAGCCUAAAAUUAAGUAGAAUUCACAUUAAACAAAUUGAUGGGCUUUAGUGUUGUACAAGAUGUAAUUUGUCACGUUAUAAACAGUUAUUUAAAUACAUCAUUUUUCAGUUUUUAUUUUUUGAUGAAUUGUUAUUAAUGCAAAUGUAAUGAUGACCAGAAAUGACCAGCAGACCACAAAUGUUAAGUCUUCUGAAGCAAACUAUACUUUUUUUGUGAAUAUUAGAUUGAAAUUUAAACCUAAACAUUGAUCAAAUUAUGAAUACACAGCACAGAUGAAAAAUCACAAACCUCAACUAACAUCCCACAAGAAUGACAUUAUGACAUCUAA